GUGAAAAUUACACAAUACCAGAUUAAAGCUCAGUAUGAGAAAUAACUUUAUGGCUAUUUGUCCAUAAAGGAAAGGGAUUGCUUCCUAAGCAUUAAUGAGUAUCUUAUCACUAGAGACAGAGCAGAAGCUGAAUGACAUCUGUCAUAGGUGUCACAGAAGAAAUUCCAGAUUUAAAUGAAAAGUCGAACUAGAUGUACUGUGUGUAAGGUCGUUUGAGACUUUGUAUUCCAUUUUGAUUUCCCCUACUUACUCCUGAGAGCUUACCUAUGGUUUUUAGAAGACAGUAUGAUGUAGAAUUAAAUUGGCAGUCAGAUCUGGGCCUCUUGUCAGCUAACAGUGACUAGAUCUGCAACAUUGGGCAAGUUAUUUCUGGACCUCAGUUUUCUCACUAGAAAUUAAUGGAACUAAUUGAAUAAUAAUAUCCCUUACAUUUCUAAUGUAAUGUGAAAAUUUCAGCCCUACUCACACGUAAUGGCUCAUAUCAGUUUUUAGCCUUAACUGAUGACUAAAAUGGUCCCAAUUUGUUUGUUUUGAUAUUUGGCUUUUGUACAUACUAACAUAGUACAAUUUUGAUAGUAACACAAAUCCUUGGUCUUGUGCCAUAUCCUCCAAGUACAAAAAAGAAUGAUGAAGAAGAACUUUCAUGAACUAGUUUGUCAUCUUCAUACUUUUCCAGGUUUCUUACACAAAUUUACCAGUUCUGUAUCCUACAUGAAUAUAUACCAUAGAUUUUUUUUUUCUCGGUGAUUUCUAUAAAUAUAUAGGUAGUGUUCACUUUAAGAGAGCUUCAUAAGUGAAAAUGAAUUUUAAGCAGGGAGAGGUGGCUCAAGCCUGUAAUCCCAGCUACUUAAGAGUCUGAGGUGGGAGGACCACUCGAGUCCAAG
rnacentral:lncRNA from 10 species